rnacentral:rRNA from 1 species
UACGGAGGGUGCGAGCGUUGUCCGGAAUCACUGGGCGUAAAGGGCGCGUAGGCGGCCUGAUAAGUAGGGGGUGAAAUCCUGCGGCUUAACCGCAGGGCUGCCUUCUAAACUGUCAGGCUCGAGCACAGUAGAGGCAGGUGGAAUUCCCGGUGUAGCGGUGAAAUGCGUAGAGAUCCGGAGGAACCCCAGAGGCGAAGGCGGCGCCCUGGCUCGCAACUGACGCUCAGACACGACAGCAUGGGGAGGCGAA